GAUGAAGAACGUAGCGAAAUGCGAUAAGUAAUGUGAAUUGCAGAAUUCAGUGAAUCAUCGAAUCUUUGAACGCAUCUUGCGCUCCUUGGUAUUCUGAGGAGCAUGCCUGUUUGAGUGUCAUUAAAUUCUCAACCGCACUGACUUAGAAUUGGUGUGGCUUGGAUUUGGGGGGAAAAUUGUUGUGGGCUUUUUUGUAUAGUCUGCUCCCCUGAAAUUGAUUAGCGGUACCUUUGUGGAACUGUCUACAGGUGUGAUAAUUAUCUACAUCCUAGACAUCUGCUGGAAUGCUGCUUUCUAAACCUUACUUGUAUUGACAAUCUUGACCUCAAAUCAGGUAGGACUACCCGCUGAACUUAAGCAUAUCAAUAAGCGGAGGA
rnacentral:misc_RNA from 1 species